GAUGAACGCUGGCGGCGUGCCUAAUACAUGCAAGUCGAGCGAACAGACGAGGAGCUUGCUCCUCUGACGUUAGCGGCGGACGGGUGAGUAACACGUGGAUAACCUACCUAUAAGACUGGGAUAACUUCGGGAAACCGGAGCUAAUACCGGAUAAUAUAUUGAACCGCAUGGUUCAAUAGUGAAAGACGGUUUUGCUGUCACUUAUAGAUGGAUCCGCGCCGCAUUAGCUAGUUGGUAAGGUAACGGCUUACCAAGGCAACGAUGCGUAGCCGACCUGAGAGGGUGAUCGGCCACACGGGAACUGGGACACGGUCCAGGCUCCUACGGGAGGCAGCAGUAGGGAAUCUUCCGCAAUGGGCGAAAGCCUGACGGAGCAACGCCGCGUGAGUGAUGAAGGUCUUCGGAUCGUAAAACUCUGUUAUUAGGGAAGAACAAAUGUGUAAGUAACUAUGCACGUCUUGACGGUACCUAAUCAGAAAGCCACGGCUAACUACGUG
rnacentral:rRNA from 1 species